UACGUGGGGUGCAAGCGUUGUCCGGAAUUACUGGGCGUAAAGGGCGCGUAGGCGGGGAGGUAAGUCGGGUGUGAAAUCCCUCGGCUCAACCGAGGAACUGCGCCCGAGACUGCUUCUCUUGAGUCCCGGAGAGGAAGGUGGAAUUCCCGGUGUAGCGGUGAAAUGUGUAGAGAUCGGGAGGAACACCGGUGGCGAAGGCGGCCUUCUGGACGGUGACUGACGCUGAGGCGCGAAAGCGUGGGGAGCAAACGGGAUUAGAUACCCCGGUAGUCCACGCGGUAAACGAUGGGUGCUAGGUGUGGGGGGUAUCGACCCCUCCCGUGCCGAAGCUAACGCAUUAAGCACCCUGCCUGGGGAGUACGGCCGCAAGGUUGAAACUUAAAGGAAUUGACGG
rnacentral:rRNA from 1 species